GAGAGCGAAGUGAGGUUGUUUGAAGCAAAAGUGGAAGCUGAAAAUUGUUGCUCAUUUUUUGCUAAUUUUUAUCUUAACACUGACCGAAUUUUACUGUAAAUCCUAAUUCUUUUAAAUCUUAUUUGAGUUGAAUCAUUAAAAUAGAUUAGUGGUGUUGUAAUAACUUGCCUGUAUUGCUUGCUUUUUUGCAUGUUUACUUUCAACUUGAUGGAGUUUGAUUCUACCUUUACUUUAAAUCAUCUGGAAACCCCAUAACCUUUCGUGUGUUCAAUAUCAGUGAAAUUAGUAAAUUAAUUUAAUUAAUUAAUCUUGUGUACCCUUGAUUGUUAAAAAUGUUGUCUCCAACUGAUUUGGAUGUUGAUUCUCUUCUGGAUUGUAUCCCUGACUGGCCAAAAGGACCGUUAGAUAAUGCCAGGUCAAAGGCCUCAUUUGAUUGGAAAGUGAUGAAGCUGGUUCUUGACGGUGACACUGUUGUACGUUUUAAACACAAAGUUUGGUCCACUCUGGCUAGUGAUCCUAUUUUUAAACGAACUCCAUGGGAAGAAUACGAUAGAAAUGAAGAGAGAAGAUUGACAUUUGCGCGAUUGAAAAAAUUAGUUGAUUACAAAUUGGCUUCAGAGGAGGAAUACCUUAAUGAACCUCAUAAGAUUCCUGCUUUUGUGCAAGCAGUGGGUCAAUUUUCGUGGUCGUUGAUUGUAAAACGGGUUUUAAGCUACGAAUAUUUCAUUGUUUCAUGUAAAAUGGACAAUGGUGAUCGAGAUAAUAGCCUAGUCAAUGACAUUAUGAACUUCAAUGCCCUCGGGGCCAUCAGUAUAACUGAAUUGGCUCACGGAAGUAACACUAAGGAGCUUCAAACAACAGCAACUUACGAUCCAACUAAACAGUGUUUUGUUUUGAAUACUCCUCGCUUGGAAGCAACCAAGGUUUGGUCCGGUGUAUUGGGUCAAUCAGCCACUCAUGUGGUUGUCUUUGCACAGCUUUAUACUCCUGAUGGUUCCUGUCAUGGUCUUCAUUCCUUCAUGGUUCCAAUUCGUGAUCCAAAAACAUUUCAACCCUAUCCUGGAUUAAUAAUUGGUGACAUGGGAGGAAAAGUCGGCCUUAAUGGAUUAGACAAUGGUUUUAUGACUUUUAAAAAUUAUUGCAUUCCAAAAGCAUCUUUAAUGAAUCGUAAUUCGGAUGUUACCUCAGAUGGCAAAUACACCUCAAAAGUUAAAGAUGAAUCAAAACGGUUUGGCAUUACUCUUGGUGUACUAUCUUCAGGGCGAAUAUUCAUCAUCCUUUUCAGUAUAAGCAACAUUCAAUCGGCUCUAUCAAUAGCAGUUCGUUAUUCAGCAGUCCGUCGUCAAUUCGGUCCAACCAAUGGAGAAGAGAUUCCCGUUUUAGAAUAUCAAAGUCAACAAUGGCGUUUAAUACCUUACAUUGCUGCUUCUUAUGUUUUUCACAACUUCUUUGGAUCUCUCUUCCUAGAUUAUGUUGAUUUCUUUGUGACCGCUUUCAAUGCUAAUGGUGAUACUCAAAUGGACAUGGGAGCUGAGAUUCAUUCAUUGUCAUCCUGUGGUAAGGCUGUGGCAACCUGGAUGGCUAGAGAUGCUAUUCAAGAGUGUAGAGAAUGCUGUGGUGGUCAUGGUUAUCUGAAAGCAGCUGGGUUUGGUGAACUUCGUAAUGAUCAUGAUGCUAAUACAACCUAUGAAGGAGAUAACAAUGUUUUACUCCAACAAACCAGUAAUUAUUUGAUUAAAUUUUACAAAGAAAAGGUAGAAGAGGGCAAACCCAUAUCAUCAUAUUUCGGUUCGGUAAACUAUCUUGACUCCAUCGAAACCAUUUUGUCAACACGUUGCCCGGGAAAUCUUGAUGAUAUACCUAAGGUGCUGGAAGCUUAUCGAUUUCUUGUAUGUUACUUGUUAAAGUCCAGUUAUCUCAAGCUACAGGAACAAACGGUUAAAAUGGGCGACUCUUUUGACGCUAAAAAUGCAACCCAAGUUUACUACUUACGGAGUUUAGCAAUAGUCUUCUUUGAAGCUGAAGCACUUGAUCGAUUUCAACGAUUUUUAACUGAAUUUUCAGUACCUGAUGAGAUAUCAAUAGUUUUAAAACAGCUUGGCCUUCUCUAUGGACUGUGGUCAUUAGAGAAACAUUUAGCGGUCCUUUAUGAAUCGGGUUAUUUUACAUCUUUACCAUUAAAACCAACUCAAUCAACUUUAUCUUCAUCCAAGCCAAUAUUAACUGGUCCAUCAACAAAUAUUAAGGAAAUGAUUCUUCAAUUAUGUAAUCAGUUGAAAGAUAAUGCUGUUGCUCUUGUUGAUUCCUAUGCACCACCAGAUCACAUACUUAACUCAUCAUUAGGUGCUUCUGAUGGACAAAUUUACCAAAACAUUUUCGCUGCAUUGGAAAACAAUAAAGGAGCUUUUGGUAAACCGGAAUGGCUCGAGCAAAUAGCAAACUCACCAUCAACUUUAUCCGGUCUCAAAUCAAAGUUAUAACCAAAUAAUUUGAUGAAACUUUGAAUCUGUAAAUUGCAAUUUGUUCAUUGUUAAAUAUUUCUCAUUGGUUUCCAUUUCAUCCUAUUUCAAUUUUAAAUCAUUAAAUUGAAGAUAAAUUUAAUUUUAUACCCAAAGAUAUACGUAAAUCAUGAGAUUAAUCAUUCAAUAAAAUUAAAGAUGUAUAUUUUGAGGUUUUAAA